UACAGAGGUCUCAACCGUUGUUCGGAUUCAUUGGGCGUAAAGGGUGCGUAGGCGGUCGUGCAAGUCGGAUGUGAAAUCUCAGGGCUCAACCCUGAAACUGCAUUCGAUACUGCGUGGCUAGAGUGCUGGAGAGGGAAGUGGAAUUCCGGGUGUAGUGGUGAAAUGCGUAGAUAUCCGGAGGAACACCAGUGGCGAAGGCGACUUUCUGGCCUGUUCUUGACGCUGAGGCGCGAAAAGCUAGGGGAGCAAACAGG
rnacentral:rRNA from 1 species